rnacentral:lncRNA from 1 species
GCUCUUGUGGUGACCUGGGAAUCAAUGUGUGAGGUGGUGCUAUGUAGCAGGAACCCCUCUUGCUUUGCAAAUAGUUUUUUGUUUGUUUUCCUUUUUGCCCAAUAGAGCCCUGCUCUACUGACCCUUCAAUGUGCCCGUGUGCCUAAAUAUUCCUGGUCGUGUGAAAAGAACCCAGGUAUUAGCUGAACUAAGGAGCACAAUUCUGCAACAUUUUGGCACCCAAACACGGGGCUUGAGAAAUGAAUGCAAUUGGAGAAACUGGUUGUUUUACCAGGCGUUGAUUGGAAAUGUGUGCUUCCCUUUAAGCAGUCAAGCUCAACUUGCAGAACUGAUGGGAACCCCUUGGGAAAACUGGCCUCAAAUGUUUGUCUACACAGUCCACAUACAGGGUUCUUAACCUGCGACUGACCCUGCUUGUGCCUGUGAACCAACCAACAAUCUCUGGCUGCAGCUCAGAAAGGACAAAAGAGAAUGGUGGACUGGAGCCCAAAAUGCACACUGGAGGAAGUGGAUGGAGCCACGUGGAUGUCAUGCCUUAUGCAGGGGAGGAGCCUGCUCUCUUCAGCUCCUGUGGUAAUGUGGGAAUCGAUCUGUGAGACUGGAGUGCAAUGGCAUUAUCUCAGCUCACUGCAACAUCCGCCUCCCGUGUUCAAGCAAUUCUCCUGCUUCAGUCUCCGAAGUAGCUGGGAUUACAAUAGACUGGAUUUUAUCAAGGAAUGUAUUUCUUCUAGAAAAUAGAUACACUUUCAAAGAUACGUUAAUUUACAUGAGAGCUUGCCUGUGUGCACAAUAGAAAGCCAAAAAUAAAGAGGUUAUCAUCUAAUGGCA